rnacentral:rRNA from 1 species
UACGGAGGGAGCUAGCGUUGUUCGGAAUUACUGGGCGUAAAGCGCACGUAGGCGGCUUUGUAAGUUAGAGGUGAAAGCCCGGGGCUCAACUCCGGAACUGCCUUUAAGACUGCAUCGCUUGAAUCCAGGAGAGGUGAGUGGAAUUCCGAGUGUAGAGGUGAAAUUCGUAGAUAUUCGGAAGAACACCAGUGGCGAAGGCGGCUCACUGGACUGGUAUUGACGCUGAGGUGCGAAAGCGUGGGAGCAAACAGG